CCCGCACACCCACUACUACCUUUCUUUUCCUUCUGAUGGCCAGAGUGCAGAAAUACCAACUUCACCUACGUGGACAGCUAAGAUGAUGACUCAGCACCAAGAGUAGGAACGUAGGUCCUGGAUAACCCUGUGGACGACCUACUAGAUGCCCCUUGAAUCUGUAAAGUAUUCCUGACCUUGGGUCUGAACCAGGCAAAGAAAAUUUGACCUAACAGGGCUACGUAUUAGAGACCUGGAUCUGGCCCUAAACAGACAGGACACACUGAACUGUAUCUUCCCCAGAUGGCCACCACGGUUUCUCCCAUCCAACAGGUUCUUAUUACAAUACGACUCUGGCACCCCCCCUUGUUGAGAAGCAGGGUCUAUGUUCUGCACUCUUAAAUUUGAGCAGAUUUUGCACUAUGGUAUGACACUACAUGACUUCUAAAGCUAGGUCACAAAAGGUGAUGCAAUUUGUUUUUAUGAGGAGGGCCCACCACCCCACUGUGAGAAAGCCUAAGCCAUUCAUGUAGAAAGACACACAUGACAGGAACCAAGGUCCCAGCUUUCAGCCCUGUUAAACUCACAGCCAAGAGCCAACACCCAACUUGUCAGCCAUGUGAGUGAGACCUGCUGGAAGUGCAUCCUCCAAGCCUCGGCCAAGCUACCCCAAACAGCACUGCACGCCAAGUUCUGCCGGAGCUGUAGAUUUGUGAUCCAAGUAACUGAUAGCUAUUGUCUGUAGCUACUGUGUUUUAUAGUGGGCUGACAAGCAGCAAUAAAUAACAGAAACCUCUUUCAUCAUAUGAA